GGGGGCGGGGGGGGUGGGGGGGGCCGGGGGGAGGUGUCCGUGGGUUUUAGGGCUGGGGGGCGCCUCCUGGGUGGUUUUAGGGCCCCCCCUUGGAAAAUUGGGAGCCCCCCCAUAAGACUGGGACACCCCCUCAUAAGAUCGGGACCCUCUCCUGGCCCUGCACCUCGCCGUCAUCCAUGAGCACGAGGCCUUCCUGGACUCCAUCCUGCAGCACACCGAGGGCACGGCCUACCUGGACCUGCAGAACGACCUGGGGCAGACCGCUCUGCACCUCGCCGUCAUCCUGGGGCUGCCG